CAGCCGCGGUAAUACGAAGGGUGCAAGCGUUACUCGGAAUUACUGGGCGUAAAGGGUGCGUAGGCGGCCUUUUAAGUCAGUGGUGAAAGCCAACAGCUCAACUGUUGAACUGCCAUUGAUACUGAAAGGCUUGAGUACAGACGAGGUAGGCGGAAUUGAAGAUGUAGCGGUGAAAUGCAUAGAUAUCUUCAAGAACACCGAUUGCGUAGGCAGCUUACUAGGCUGUAACUGACGCUGAGGCACGAAAGCGUGGGGAGCGAAC
rnacentral:rRNA from 1 species